GGGUNNUACUUUUAACCUAAAGAAUUUGGCGGUUUUUAAACUUACUAGAGGAACCUGUCCUGUAAUCGAUAGUCCACGAAAUUAUCUACCUAUCUUUGUUAUCAGCUUAUAUACCGCCGUUUAGUGAAUUAAAUAAAUAACUUCCCUUAAUUAAUUAGUUAAAUAAAUCAGGUCAAGGUGUAGUUUAUAGACAGGAAGAGAUGGGUUACAAUAAUAAUUUAUAACGGACCGUUCACCUUGGGGUGAAUGCGAAGGUGGAUUUAGAAGUAAAUUUUAAUAGUUUGAAAUAAGCUCUUAAAAAUGUACA
rnacentral:rRNA from 1 species